AUAACUGAGAGAAGUUGUUUGCAUAUCAAGAGGAAUUUGUCAUUAUUAUCUGUAAUUUUGAAGAUGUUACUAAUUGAGUAGUGUAUGAAGUUUCAAAUUUGAGUUUUUAAUUGUAAUUAUAAAAAAAAAAUAGAGAUUAAUUAAUUUGAUCAAUUGCUUUACACCUUUUCACAAAAAAAUAUUGAUACUGGGCAUUCUUACUAUUGAUAAUUAACGUUUUUAAAAUUCAAAUACACAUGUUUGUCUUAGGGAAUAUUUUGCUUCAAUUUUCUUUCACUGAAAAAUGCUAACUUUAGGCUCAGGCAAUGCCUGCUCACCAUUUAACAUCUCUUGUACACAAUACUGGACGCACAAUAGACCCCCAUCAUUGAUUGUCUUCUAUCGUAAUUGUAUUAAACAUUUUUUAUAAGGGUAAAUAAUAG
rnacentral:misc_RNA from 1 species